rnacentral:rRNA from 1 species
AUUGAACGCUGGCGGCAGGCCUAACACAUGCAAGUCGAACGAGUGGCGGACGGGUGAGUCAUGUCUGGGAAACUGCCUGAUGGAGGGGGAUAACUACUGGAAACGGUAGCAAAUACCGCAUACCAUCGGAUGUGCCCAGAUGGGAUUAGCUAGUAGGUGGGGUCAAGGCUCACCUAGGCGACGAUCCCUAGCUGGUCUGAGAGGAUGACCAGCCACACUGUAACUGAGACACGGUCCUGACGCCUAAGCGGGGCAGCAGUGGGGAAUAUUGCACAAUGGGCGCAAGCGGGAUAGAGCCAUGCCGCGUGGAUGAAGAAGGCCUUCGGGUUGUAAAGUACUUACAGCGGGGAGGCGUUACCCGGAGAAGAAGCACCGGCUAACGCCGUGCCAGCAGCCGCGGUAAUAC